rnacentral:rRNA from 1 species
AUUGAACGCUGGCGGCAGGCCUAACACAUGCAAGUCGAACGGUAACAGGAAGCAGCUUGCUGCUUCGCUGACGAGUGGCGGACGGGUGAGUAAUGUCUGGGAAACUGCCCGAUGGAGGGGGAUAACUACUGGAAACGGUAGCUAAUACCGCAUAACGUCGCAAGACCAAAGAGGGGGACCUUCGGGCCUCUUGCCAUCGGAUGUGCCCAGAUGGGAUUAGCUUGUUGGUGAGGUAACGGCUCACCAAGGCGACGAUCCCUAGCUGGUCUGAGAGGAUGACCAGCCACACUGGAACUGAGACACGGUCCAGACUCCUACGGGAGGCAGCAGUGGGGAAUAUUGCACAAUGGGCGCAGGCCUGAUGCAGCCAUGCCGCGUGUAUGAAGAAGGCCUUCGGGUUGUAAAGUACUAUCAGCGGGGAGGAAGGUGUUGUGGUUAAUAACCGCAGCAAUUGACGUUACCCGCAGAAGAAGCACCGGCUAACUCCGUGCCAGCCGCCGCAGUAA